rnacentral:rRNA from 1 species
AUUGAACGCUGGCGGCACGCCUAACACAUGCAAGUCGAGCGGCAGCGAGACUAGUAGCAAUACUAGUUGUCGGCGAGCGGCGGACGGGUGAGUAACACGUAGGAAUCUGCCCUUAAGCGGGGGAUAACCAAGGGAAACUUUGGCUAAUACCGCAUAAUCUCGAGAGAGCAAAGCUGCCCGCAAGGGUGGCACUUGAGGAGGAGCCUGCGUCCGAUUAGCUAGUUGGUGGGGUAAUGGCCUACCAAGGCGAUGAUCGGUAACUGGUCUGAGAGGACUACCAGUCACACUGGGACUGAGACACGGCCCAGACUCCUACGGGAGGCAGCAGUGGGGAAUAUUGGACAAUGGGGGCAACCCUGAUCCAGCGAUGCCGCGUGUGUGAAGAAGGCCUGCGGGUUGUAAAGCACUUUCAGUGGGGAGGAGGGCUUAAAGGUUAAGAGCUAUUAAGUUGGACGUUACCCACAGAAGAAGCACCGGCUAACUCCGUGCCAGCCGCCGCAGUAAGAC